CCCCAAACGUCUUAUAUCACCUGAAAAUGCAUAAAACAUCCCAAACAACGUAAUACGGCCCCGAGGGGCAAGAGAACUAAAUAUGUACUCAAAAUCUUGAGUUUGAAUAGAUUUCAACACACAAAAAUAUAGUUUAUAACGAGAAUAAGUGUGUCAAAAAUACAACACAUCAGUUCAGCAUUUGGAAGUACUGUGUUCAGAGCAUCAAUCAACCCUUGCAUAGAGGGUGAUAGGUUUCAAAUUACAAUUAAAACAAGUAGUAAAACCCUAGAGCCAAAAAAUUGAAAAUUGAAGCACUUUACAUACGUUAUGUUGAUCUGUUAUAAUUGACCACCCUGUCCCAUUUGCCAUGCCUAGUUCUUCUGGUAGAAUUUGAAUUAGUCUUCCUAUUCCUAAAGACUGAUCACCUUCCUCUCCGUAAGCUAAAUCACUGUCUUGUGCUCUACCUUGAAUUCCCCCUGUAGUUAGGUUAUCACUAACAUGCUUCUUCACACAAUUAUAGAACAACUGGAUACGUCUAAGUUCUGCCACUUGUAGUAAGCCCCCAACAAGUUCAAUAUUGCUGAAUAUCUCCACCACGGUUUUGCUACCAUCCGUGAAGCUCUUCCUAGGAAUUAAGUACCACAUCUUGUCCACCCAAUCAUACCCCUACUCCUUCGUUGCAAUAUAUGUGAGUGCUUGAAACGAAAGUUUAUCCUCCCGUAACGACAAUGGACCUAUAGUUAUCCGACGUAGUCAGGGAUUCCUCUAUGCCAGUUCAUCUUACCUCUAUGGUAGAUCGUCAGAGUUAUCAACUCAGCCAUGGUCUGCCAAAAAUUGCGAUUACCAAUGUUCCAUAUAAAGCCUAUAGUAUACAAUAUUGACAAGAACUGAAUAUGGCAACAUAUGAUGCAAUUACUUCAACAGGACCACAUAGUAGGAUAAAAGAUUGCAAUUUUUUACACCAAAAGGAAUUUCGAAACCGCAAAUGCCCUUUCUAAAAAAAGUACAAGAGACAAGAACAUGCCAUAAACACACCCACCCACCCAGAAACAACACAAAAGAAAUGAAAUCUCGAAAAAGUUUCCUCUAAACAAUAAAGUGGUCCUGCGCAUCUGUAUAUAAAACACUUUCUUCCAACAAGAAUCAAAAUCGGAAGAUGUAAACUACUACUUCUCUUACCUCAUAUCUCACUUCGGGCUGUUUCCUUCCCUUCGCCAUAAGAACAACAAGAAUGCUAAGGAGAAUGAGAUAACUGCUACAGCUCGCGAGGCUGGGAUUUUGUGGUUCGGGCAGUCGUCACCGACGAAUACCGAGGUUCCGUUCAGGCAAAAGUUCACAUAAUGUAAUGCGCUGCGGGUUAUUUGAGGUGAAUUAAUUGGUGAUAUCGACAACGAUGAUGUAAUUUAAGUUCUAGGGUUUCGUUUUAGAGAGUUUGAGUUCAAAACAUGGUAGUAAAGAAGAUGAGGAAAAUGGAUGGUCAUAGAGUG
rnacentral:lncRNA from 1 species